GAUGAAGAACGUAGCGAAAUGCGAUAAGUAAUGUGAAUUGCAGAAUUCAGUGAAUCAUCGAAUCUUUGAACGCACCUUGCGCUCCUUGGUAUUCCUCGGAGCAUGCCUGUUUGAGUAUCAUGAAACUCUCAAAGAAAAUCUUUUGUUAAUUCAAUUGGUUUGCUUUGGACUUGGAGGUUUUUUUUGCAGAUUAAUUUCUGCUCCUCUUAAAUAUAUUAGCUGGAUCUCAGUAUAUGCUCGGUUCCACUCGGCGUGAUAAGUAUCACUCGCUGAGGACACUGGUAAAAGAGGUGGCCGGGAAAUACAGAUGAACCGCUUCAAACAGUCCAUUGACUUGGACAAUAUAAGUUUUAAGAUCUGAUCUCAAAUCAGGUAGGACUACCCGCUGAACUUAAGCAUAUCAAUAAGCGGAGGA
rnacentral:misc_RNA from 1 species